rnacentral:rRNA from 1 species
UACGUAGGUGGCAAGCGUUGUCCGGAUUUAUUGGGUUUAAAGGGUGUGUAGGCGGACUUUUAAGUCAGAGGUGAAAUCUCCGGGCUCAACCCGGAAACUGCCCCUGAUACUAUUAGUCUUGAAUAUUGAUGAGGUGGGCGGAACGGGUCAUGUAGCGGUGAAAUGCUUAGAGAUGACCCGGAACACCAAUUGCGAAGGCAGCUCACUGGGCAAUUAUUGACGCUGAGGCACGGAAA